CCGAGUUUACAACUCCCAAACCCCUGUGAACAUACCAACUGUAGCCUCGGCGGAUCAGCCCGCUCCCGGUAAAACGGGACGGCCCGCCAGAGGACCCCUAAACUCUGUUUCUAUAUGUAACUUCUGAGUAAAACCAUAAAUAAAUCAAAACUUUCAACAACGGAUCUCUUGGUUCUGGCAUCGAUGAAGAACGCAGCAAAAUGCGAUAAGUAAUGUGAAUUGCAGAAUUCAGUGAAUCAUCGAAUCUUUGAACGCACAUUGCGCCCGCCAGUAUUCUGGCGGGCAUGCCUGUUCGAGCGUCAUUUCAACCCUCAAGCCCAGCUUGGUGUUGGGACUCGCGAGUCAAAUCGCGUUCCCCAAAUUGAUUGGCGGUCACGUCGAGCUUCCAUAGCGUAGUAGUAAAACCCUCGUUACUGGUAAUCGUCGCGGCCACGCCGUUAAACCCCAACUUCUGAAUGUUGACCUCGGAUCAGGUAGGAAUACCCGCUGAACUUAAGCAUAUCA
rnacentral:rRNA from 1 species